AUACGUAGGUGGCAAGCGUUGUCCGGAUUUAUUGGGCGUAAAGCGAGCGCAGGCGGUUUCUUAAGUCUGAUGUGAAAGCCCCCGGCUCAACCGGGGAGGGUCAUUGGAAACUGGGAGACUUGAGUGCAGAAGAGGAGAGUGGAAUUCCAUGUGUAGCGGUGAAAUGCGUAGAUAUAUGGAGGAACACCAGUGGCGAAGGCGGUUCUCUGGACCUUUCCUGACGCUGAGGAGCGAAAGCGUGGGGAGCAAACAGGAUUAGAUACCCUGGUAGUCCACGCCGUAAACGAUGAGUGCUAAGUGUUGGAGGGUUUCCGCCCUUCAGUGCUGCAGCUAACGCAUUAAGCACUCCGCCUGGGGAGUACGACCGCAAGGUUGAA
rnacentral:rRNA from 1 species